GGGAUACCCGCUGAACUUAAGCAUAUCAAUAAGCGGAGGAAAAGAAACCAACAGGGAUUGCCCUAGUAACGGCGAGUGAAGCGGCAACAGCUCAAAUUUGAAAUCUGGCCCUCUCAGGGUCCGAGUUGUAAUUUGCAGAGGGUGCUUUGGCGAUGGCUGUGGUCUAAGUUCCUUGGAACAGGACGUCGCAGAGGGUGAGAAUCCCGUAUGUGGCCGCCAGCCUACGCCGUGUAAAGCCCCUUCGACGAGUCGAGUUGUUUGGGAAUGCAGCUCUAAAUGGGAGGUAAAUUCCUUCUAAAGCUAAAUACUGGCCAGAGACCGAUAGCGCACAAGUAGAGUGAUCGAAAGAUGAAAAGCACUUUGGAAAGAGAGUCAAAAAGCACGUGAAAUUGUUGAAAGGGAAGCGCUUGCAGCCAGACUUGCCUGUAGUUGCUUACCAGGGCUCUUGCCCUGGGCACUCUUCUGCGGGCAGGCCAGCAUCAGUCCGGGCGGUUGGAUAAAUGCCUUCUGCAUGUACCUCUCUUCGGGGAGGACUUAUAGGGGUUGGCGCCAUACAGCCAGCCUGGACUGAGGUCCGCGCAUCUGCUAGGAUGCUGGCGUAAUGGCUGUAAGCGGCCCGUCUUGAAACACGGACCAAGGAGUCUAACAUCUAUGCGAGUGUUUGGGUGUGAAGCCCGAGCGCGGAAUGAAAGUGAACGGAGGUGGGAACCCCUCGGGGUGCACCAUCGACCGAUCCUGAUGUCUUCGGAUGGAUUUGAGUAUGAGCAUAGCUGUUGGGACCCGAAAGAUGGUGAACUAUGCCUGAAUAGGGUGAAGCCAGAGGAAACUCUGGUGGAGGCUCGCAGCGGUUCUGACGUGCAAAUCGAUCGUCAAAUUUGGGCAUAGGACUAAUCGAACCAUAGUAGCUGGUUCCUGCCGAAGUUUCCCUCAGGAUAGCAGUAACGUUUUCAGUUUUAUGAGGUAAAGCGAAUGAUUAGAGGCCUGGGGGUUGAAACAACCUUCACCUAUUCUCAAACUUUAAAUAUGUAAGAAGUCCUUGUUACUUGAUUGAACGUGGACAUUUGAAUGUAUCGUUACUAGUGGGCCAUUUUU
rnacentral:rRNA from 1 species